rnacentral:rRNA from 1 species
CGCGUAGGCGGUAAUGUAAGUCAGACGUGAAAUCCUUCGGCUUAACUGAAGAACUGCGUCUGAAACUGCAUGACUAGAGUGCAGAAGAGGGAAACGGAAUUCCUGGUGUAGAGGUGAAAUUCGUAGAUAUCAGGAGGAACACCGGUGGCGAAGGCGGUUUCCUGGUCUGACACUGACGCUGAGGCGCGAAAGCGUGGGGAGCAAACAGGAUUAGAUACCCUGGUAGUCCACGCCGUAAACGGUGGGUACUGGGUGUGGGAGGUGUAAUGCCUUCUGUGCCGAAGCUAACGCGUUAAGUACCCCGCCUGGGGAGUACGGCCGCAAGGUUGAA